AGUGAACGCUGGCGGUAGGCCUAACACAUGCAAGUCGAACGGCAGCACAGUAAGAGCUUGCUCUUACGGGUGGCGAGUGGCGGACGGGUGAGGAAUACAUCGGAAUCUACUUUUUCGUGGGGGAUAACGUAGGGAAACUUACGCUAAUACCGCAUACGACCUACGGGUGAAAGCAGGGGAUCUUCGGACCUUGCGCGAUUGAAUGAGCCGAUGUCGGAUUAGCUAGUUGGCGGGGUAAAGGCCCACCAAGGCGACGAUCCGUAGCUGGUCUGAGAGGAGGAUCAGCCACACUGGAACUGAGACACGGUCCAGACUCCUACGGGAGGCAGCAGUGGGGAAUAUUGGACAAGGGGCGAAAGCCUGAUCCAGCCAUACCGCGUGGGUGAAGAAGGCCUUCGGGUUGUAAAGCCCUUUUGUGGGGAAAGAAAAGCAGCAGGUUAAUACCCCGCUGUUCGGACGGUACCCAAAGAAUAAGCACCGGCGAACUUCGU
rnacentral:rRNA from 1 species